AUACGGAGGGGGCUAGCGUUGUUCGGAAUUACUGGGCGUAAAGCGCACGUAGGCGGAUUAAAAAGUUAGAGGUGAAAUCCCAGGGCUUAACCCUGGAACUGCCUUUAAAACUAGUAGUCUAGAGUUCGAGAGAGGUGAGUGGAAUUCCAAGUGUAGAGGUGAAAUUCGUAGAUAUUUGGAGGAACACCAGUGGCGAAGGCGGCUCACUGGCUCGAUACUGACGCUGAGGUGCGAAAGCGUAGGGAGCAAACAGGAUUAGAUACCCUAGUAGUCC
rnacentral:rRNA from 1 species